UUGCUGGGGGAUUAGUGGCGAACGGGUGAGUAACACGUGAGUAACCUGCCCUUGACUCUGGGAUAAGCCUGGGAAACUGGGUCUAAUACCGGAUAUGACCGCUCUGACGCAUGUCAGGUGGUGGAAAGCUUUUGUGGUUUUGGAUGGACUCGCGGCCUAUCAGCUUGUUGGUGGGGUAAUGGCCUACCAAGGCGACGACGGGUAGCCGGCCUGAGAGGGUGACCGGCCACACUGGGACUGAGACACGGCCCAGACUCCUACGGGAGGCAGCAGUGGGGAAUAUUGCACAAUGGGCGCAAGCCUGAUGCAGCGACGCCGCGUGAGGGAUGACGGCCUUCGGGUUGUAAACCUCUUUCAGUAGGGAAGAAGCGAAAGUGACGGUACCUGCAGAAGAAGCGCCGGCUAACUACGUGCCAGCAGCCGCGGUAAUACGUAGGGCGCAAGCGUUAUCCGGAAUUAUUGGGCGUAAAGAGCUCGUAGGCGGUUUGUCGCGUCUGCUGUGAAAGACCGGGGCUCAACUCCGGUUCUGCAGUGGGUACGGGCAGACUAGAGUGAUGUAGGGGAGACUGGAAUUCCUGGUGUAGCGGUGAAAUGCGCAGAUAUCAGGAGGAACACCGAUGGCGAAGGCAGGUCUCUGGGCAUUAACUGACGCUGAGGAGCGAAAGCAUGGGGAGCGAACAGGAUUAGAUACCCUGGUAGUCCAUGCCGUAAACGUUGGGCACUAGGUGUGGGGGACAUUCCACGUUUUCCGCGCCGUAGCUAACGCAUUAAGUGCCCCGCCUGGGGAGUACGGCCGCAAGGCUAAAACUCAAAGGAAUUGACGGGGGCCCGCACAAGCGGCGGAGCAUGCGGAUUAAUUCGAUGCAACGCGAAGAACCUUACCAAGGCUUGACAUGAACCGGUAAUACCUGGAAACAGGUGCCCCGCUUGCGGUCGGUUUACAGGUGGUGCAUGGUUGUCGUCAGCUCGUGUCGUGAGAUGUUGGGUUAAGUCCCGCAACGAGCGCAA
rnacentral:rRNA from 1 species